GAUGAACGCUGGCGGCGUGCCUAAUACAUGCAAGUCGAGCGAACGGACGAGAAGCUUGCUGCUCUGAUGUUAGCGGCGGACGGGUGAGUAACACGUGGAUAACCUACCUAUAAGACUGGGAUAACUUCGGGAAACCGGAGCUAAUCCCGGAUAAUAUUUUGAUCCGCAUGGUUCAAAAGUGAAAGACGGCCUUGCUGUCACUUAUAGCUGGAUCCGCGCUGCAUUAGCUAGUUGGUAAGGUAACGGCUUACCAAGGCAACGAUGCCUAGCCGACCUGAGAGGGUGAUCGGCCACACUGGAACGGAGACACGGUCCAGACUCCUACGGGAGGCAGCAGUAGGGAAUCUGCCGCAAUGGGCGAAAGCCUGACGGAGCAACGCCGCGUGAGUGAUGAAGGUCUUCGGAUCGUAAAACCCUGUUAUUAGGGAAGAACAUAUGUGGAAGUAACUGUGCACAUCUUGACGGUACCUAAUCAGAAAGCCACGGCUAACUACGUG
rnacentral:rRNA from 1 species